GCGGACGGGUGAGUAACACGUGGGUAACCUACCUAUAAGACUGGGACAACUUCGGGGAACCGGAGCUAAUACCGGAUAAUAUGUUGAACCGCAUGGUUCAAUAGUGAAAGAUGGUUUUGCUAUCACUUAUAGAUGGACCCGCGCCGUAUUAGCUAGUUGGUGAGGUAACGGCUCACCAAGGCAACGAUACGUAGCCGACCUGAGAGGGUGAUCGGCCACACUGGAACUGAGACACGGUCCAGACUCCUACGGGAGGCAGCAGUAGGGAAUCUUCCGCAAUGGGCGAAAGCCUGACGGAGCAACGCCGCGUGAGUGAUGAAGGUCUUAGGAUCGUAAAACUCUGUUAUUAGGGAAGAACAAACGUGUAAGUAACUGUGCACGUCUUGACGGUACCUAAUCAGAAAGCCACGGCUAACUACGUGCCAGCAGCCGCGGUAAUACGUAGGUGGCAAGCGUUAUCCGGAAUUAUUGGGCGUAAAGCGCGCGUAGGCGGUUUUUUAAGUCUGAUGUGAAAGCCCACGGCUCAACCGUGGAGGGUCAUUGGAAACUGGAAAACUUGAGUGCAGAAGAGGAAAGUGGAAUUCCAUGUGUAGCGGUGAAAUGCGCAGAGAUAUGGAGGAACACCAGUGGCGAAGGCGACUUUCUGGUCUGUAACUGACGCUGAUGUGCGAAAGCGUGGGGAUCAAACAGGAUUAGAUACCCUGGUAGUCCACGCCGUAAACGAUGAGUGCUAAGUGUUAGGGGGUUUCUGCCCCUUAGUGCUGCAGCUAACGCAUUAAGCACUCCGCCUGGGGAGUACGACCG
rnacentral:rRNA from 1 species